UGGGGGAUAUUGCACAAUGGGCGAAAGCCUGAUGCAGCGACGCCGCGUGGGGGAUGAAGGCCUUCGGGUUGUAAACUUCUUUUGCUCUGAACAAGGCAUGCCUUUGGGGUGUGUUGAGUGUAGGGGUUGAUUAGCGCCGGCUAACUACGUGCCAGCAGCCGCGGUAAUACGUAGGGCGCGAGCGUUGUCCGGAAUUAUUGGGCGUAAAGGGCUUGUAGGUGGCUGGUUGCGUCUGUCGUGAAAGCUCAUGGCUUAACUGUGGGUUUGCGGUGGGUACGGGCUGGCUUGAGUGCAGUAGGGGAGGGUGGAAUUCCUGGUGUAGCGGUGGAAUGCGCAGAUAUCAGGAGGAAUACCGGUGGCGAAGGCGGGUCUCUGGGCUGUUACUGACGCUGAGGAGCGAAAGCGUGGGGAGCGAACAGG
rnacentral:rRNA from 1 species